rnacentral:lncRNA from 1 species
GUUUAUAGUUAUUUUUGAUGCUUUCCUUCUCUUUAUUUUUAAUGUUAUAAUUAAAUGUUUGCUAACAUUUUCUCAUAAAGAGCUCCAGUUUUCUGAUGUUGUCUGUCUAUUUGUCUCCAUGGUGAAAGCUUUGUAAACGUUUAUUUUUGUUUCCAGUAUGAAGCCUUGUUUCAACAUUUCAUGUAAGUGAGAUGUAGUGGUGAUUAACUCCCUCAGCUGUUUUUUAUCUGGGAAAGUUUUUAUUUUUCCAUCAUAUCUGAAGGAUAACUUUGCUGGAUAAAGUAUUUUUGGCUGGAUAAAGUAUUCGAGAUCCUCAAGAUAGAGUAUUCGUGCCUUUCAGUAUUUUGAAUAUAUCAUUCCUUUCUCUCCUAGCCUGUAAGGUUCCUGCUGAGAAAUUUGCUGAGAGCCUGAUAGGAUUUCCUUUGUAUGUUAUUUUCUUCUGCCUUGCUGCCCUUAAUAUUUUUUUCUUUGUUGCUGACUUUUGCCAGUUUUACUAUUAUAUGCCUUGGAGAAGGUUUUUUGCAUUGAUGUAAUUAGGAGUUCUAUUGGCUUCAUGUAUUUGUAAGUCUGGUUCUUUCCCCAGGUUUGGGAAGCUCUCAGCUAUUAUUUCUUUGGACAAGCUCUCUGCUCCUUUCUCCCCCUCUUCUCCCUCUUGAAUACCUACAAUCCUUAUGUUGCUUUUCCUAAUUGACUUGGGUAUUUCUCGAAGAAUUCCUUCAUUUUUUAAAAAUCUUAGUUAUCUCUCUCCUCCACCUGAAGCAUUGCUAUAUUUCUAUCCUCUAAACCACUAAUUCUGUCCUCCAUUAUAUCAGCUCUAUUUUAAAGGAUUCUCCCUUAUUUUUUAUCUCAUUGAUUGUGUUCCUCAUAGCUAGAGUUUCUGCUUGUUUUUUGUUAUAGUUUCAAUCUCAUUGGUGAAGUAUUCCUUCUGUGAAUUAAUUUUAUUCCUGAGCUCAUUGAACUGUCUUUCAGAGUUUUCUUGUAACUUGUUGAGUUUCUUUAUGACAGCUGUUUUGAAUUCUCUGUCAUUCAGAUUGUAAAUUUCUGUGACUUCAUUCUUGGAUUCUGGAGACUUGACAUUUUCCUACUGUGUUACUUUAAGUUUUCAUGGUGUUUAAUGAACUGAUCCUUUGCCAGUGCGUUUGUGGUAAUAUCAGGCUGCAGAUUCUACCUGCCACUGUUGGGUGGGAGCAGGAGCUGUGUUUGUGAUCCCACUCUGUCUGCUGGAAGUUGUGCAGGUAUGGUGGGUGCUCCUGUAGGCCAGGAUAGUGUUUUCACUGUUGCCAGUCUGCUGCUGCCUCUGCUCACAGUCGUGCUGGUUUCUGUGCUUUGUGGGUAGAGGUCCUUCAUGAGGUCUGGGCUGGAACCACUUCGUGGGGCCACGGCAGCAUAGUGGGUGAUCUCACAGGCAAGGAUAGCAUGCAUGUGUUCAGGACUGCUGUCACCUCCUCUUAUAUUCAUGCCAGGGUAUAUUCCCACUAGCUGGGCUGCUGCAGCACAGUGGACAUUGCUGUAGGCUGGGAUAACAUUGUCGUAUGUGCCUGAUGGCCACUGCCUCUGCUUAUAGUCAUGCCAGCUGCUGUGCUUGGUGGGUAGGGCUCAUUAACAAAGCCUGAGCCAGGGCCACUCUGUUUGGCUGCUGUAGCAUGGUGGACACUCCUGCAGGCUGGGAUAGCAAUUGCAUGGAGACUGGGCUGUCCCCACCUCCUCUUAGAGUAGCACCAGCUGCUGUAUGAGGACCUGCAAACUGGCUCACUGCUGCUGGGGAGGGGUUGGGGAGUGCUCACCUAUCUCUACUCAUUCCUGUGGAUAUAAUCCAUCCACCUUCAGAUGUAUAGCUGUGUGGGCCUCUCAGUUGUCCUGUGAUGCAGUGUGAAUAUCCUCUAUUGGUCAUUGAAUGUCUGUUUAGUUGUAAUUCAGAGGAGAGUCAAAUGGAACAGCUCACUCUGCCAUGUUGCUGAUGUCACUCAGAUCUUGCUUUUUUAUUCAUUCAGCCAAUCUAUGUCUUUUGAUUAGAGAAUUUAGUCCACUUAAAUUUAAAGUAAUUAUUGAUAGAGCCUCCAAAUAGAGUAGAUGGAAAACACCUCUUUGUGUCACUGAUUCCAGGCUUGGCUAUAUGUCUUGCUUUGACCAAUGGAGUGCUAGUAGGUAUGAUUGAGCAGAGAUUUUAAAUAUGCCUGUGUGGUUUGACUUGUGCUCUUGCACUUCUGCCAUCUACCAUAGUUAAGGACAUGCCCUGUUACAGCUGGUUUUAACAAGGGGAGUAGACCCAAACCUACCUGAAACCUGAAACACAGUCACCUCAAGCUUAUUGACAGGCCUGUGAGAAAGAAAAGUAACAUAGUUGCUGCAAACCACUGAGAUUUGUUUUUAUGUUUAUGUAGCAUUAUCACAGCACAACUGACUAAGACACCUGGAGUGGUACAUUUAGAUAGAGAGGGCUUGAAACGACUUCAGAAAUUUACCAGUAGUCUCUCAGUGGAGUGAGUGAGUAAUAAAACAUUUCUUCAACAGGGUUACAGAGUAACUACAACAGAGUUGGAUUUGGAGAAGGCUUGAUUAAAUGUGAGAUGAUGUAGCGGUGACCUGUGUGAAUAGA